UACGUAGGGGACAAGCGUUGUCCGGAUUUACUGGGCGUAAAGGGUGAGUAGGCGGUUAUAUAUGUCAGGUGUAAAAAGCUAUGGCUUAACCAUAGUAAGCACUUGAAACUGUAUGACUUGAGUGCAGGAGAGGUAAGCGGAAUUCCUAGUGUAGCGGUGAAAUGCGUAGAUAUUAGGAGGAACACCGGUGGCGAAGGCGGCUUACUGGACUGUAACUGACGCUGAGUCACGAAAGCGUGGGUAGCAAACAGGAUUAGAUACCCCGGUAGUCCCUGA
rnacentral:rRNA from 1 species